UAAUAAGUGUUUUAUGGCACUUUUUAAAUCCAUAUCCACCUUGUGUGCAAUGUCAGUCGAUCUUCUACCAUGGAGAUCGACCAAACAUCAACCUUUAUCUUUUAACUCUUCGUCUGAAAAAUAUUAUGAAUAAACAAUUCAAAAUA
rnacentral:misc_RNA from 1 species